GUUGCAUAUUUUUUACUCAUGGAAAGGAUUUUGCAAGCAGAGGAAUCGAAGUGACUGGCCUCCACUUAAAUCUAGAGAAGAUGAUGGAGCAAAAGAGUGGUGCAGUGAAAUCUCUAACAGGUGGCAUUGCACACCUUUUUAAACA